CUUACAAACUAUUUAUGCAGUAUCACCAAAGGAAGGCAGAAAAGUAACUCCUCCUCGCACUCUCAAGUACUAUGACUGUGGCUGUGAAAGAUGCUAUGAAUAUGUUAGGCGAAAAAAUGCCCAAACAUUGAGACGCGCUAUCAUUUUAUCAAAAAGAUUAUCAAAAAAACACCAAGGCGAGGCUUCAAGUUCCCAAAAAUUAACACGGCAACAGAGAAAACAACUUCAAGGUAAGUCUUCUUAACCAAAUCUAUAUUUCUAACAAAAUAAACACAAAAAAAAACUUUUACUAAAAUUAUUA